UUUUAGCACUUCCCCGCGUUAAGGAUUGAAGUGCAAAGCCCACAGCAAAAAAAUGCCAUUUUCUUAAGCCAAAAAAGCGACCAACGGAAGCUCUUUUUAGGUUAAAGAAAAUGGCAUUUUUUGCGAGGACUUGUAACGAAAAGCCUGACCCGUA
rnacentral:sRNA from 1 species